GGCUGCUUUUGACAUGUUUUUCCAACAGUAUUUGUGAUUAGCACUAAGAAAAGUCAAAAAAAGUUUUCUCUAAAUAAGACUUACUAAAACUUUCUGACUUUGUAAAUAUUAAGAAAUUUCUAACCAUUGAAUUUUCUAUGAUAUUAUAUGAAUCUCCACAUUGUUUGAAUUUACCAGGGUCAAAACAAAACUAAUAAACAUCUAUAUUUUCAUGACAAGUUGGGAUAUUUGUAUCCAAUCUUAAAUACCAGAGUUGUCUAAGUGAUGCCUGUUAAUAUCACCGCUUCCAAUGCUUAAACCAGCAAGUGAUUCCCCCCUUGGGCAUACAUUAACAAUUUACUUUUUGCAGACAAGUGCACAAAUAUGAUUAGCUUUUGCAAAUUGCUCUUUAUUCUGUUACUAGUAAGUAAUUUUUAUAUUAUUACAGUGUAAACAGAUGCUAUUUUCCACUACAUAUUCAGCUGUAAUGAGCUAAUUUAAUGUAUUAAAACAACAAAAGAACUUCAAGAAUGAGUCAGUGAUUCAAGUUGCAUGGAAACCAAGGGAAAAAUCAAGCAUGAAGUUUGCAAAACCAUUCCAAAAUUCCAUUUUCGAUAAGGAAUUGUGGAGCCCCUGUUCUUUGAGGCUGCUUAGCCAAUGCUGUGUGCGCACCUUUGCAUGAUAAACAGAGUUCCCAGCCAAGGAAAAGAAGAAACAGUGUGUGAGCAGAUAGUCACAAUUAAGUCUGCAAAUUUAUUUUUUUAGCUAGUCUUUGCCUAAAUGAAGACCGAAGUACUCCGAAAAUCUACAAUUACAUGAUUCUAAAAGAGGCAAGUUUGUGAUGUAUCUUUCUUUGGGUGUUUCUUUGGAUAGCCUAGAGUAACGAAAGACCUAGAUGUGGUGCUAAACCAUAGAUAUGGAUGGACUCAAAUCACCUCUAUAUAUUACCUUCUCAAUCCUUACCAAAUCAAUUUCUGGUAUGGCCAGCACACCCAGUUUCCCCAGAUGCUCUACCUGAAACCAAAGUUGGAACUAUGACUGAGGAUUUUCUGAGUAUUUUCAUCAAAGCUGAGUAAUAUCUUCUCAUCAUAGUGCAAAGGAAUUUCAGUUUCUGAUAUCCUAUUUGACUUUGACAAUAAAUCAAAAGAUCCUGCUCCUUC